rnacentral:rRNA from 1 species
UACGUAGGGGCCAAGCGUUGUCCGGAUUUAUUGGGCGUAAAGAGCUCGUAGGCGGUUCGGCAAGUCAGCUGUGAAAUCUCCACGCUCAACGUGGAGGGGUCAGCUGAUACUGCUGUGACUCGAGUCCGGUAGGGGAGUGUGGAAUUCCCGGUGUAGCGGUGAAAUGCGUAGAUAUCGCUUGGAACGCCGAAGGUGAAAACAGGUCGCUGGGGAAUGUGCCGACGCUGAGACACGAAAGCCAGGGGAGCAAACGGG